rnacentral:hammerhead_ribozyme from 1 species
AUCUCAGAGCUGACGAGUCCCAAGUAGGACGAAACGCGCGUCCUGGAU